UUUAAAAUAUUAAAAGUCUACCAUGCUGAGAAGCCUUAGAUCCUUGACUGCAACAACGUUCAGAGCAGUUCUGUCUGUACACGCGAGAUAACGGCAACUGUGGCUUCAGCAACGUCUGCCUCACCCAGAGAAAGGGAAGACUUAUGUGGAACAUAACCCCAUGAGUAGUUCUAUGCAUGAAGACUUGGGAAACAGAAGGAUGCAGUCAAGGGUGCACAGAUGGAAGAUUGUAACAGCUCAGAUUUUAAUGGCCACGCUGGUCAGAUUUUCAUCGCUGUAUUCAGCAAGUCUCACCAAGAGGCUUAAUGGUGGCCUGUUGUCCCUUCCAUCCAUCUACCCAAGACAAAGCACAAAUGCAAUGUGACUCACCGAUAACGGCCACAGCUGCAGCUGCGGGGUAUGUCACCCUCAGCAGCACUAACCCUUUGCCUCAGGCAGCAUAUGGACAGUGACAGGCUGAUCACCCCGAUGAUGAAGAACUGGGUAGACGGAGGAUGGAUGCCUUUGAGUUGUCGAGGCCCGGGUGCCUCCCAUUCAUUGGACGGCUUCUGUCUCCUUUGCACGUGUGCUAAAUUGAGUUGAAUUAAAGAAGAGUCAUAUGGGAAUCACUGAGCAGUUGCUAACAUCUCUCUAUUCUGUGGUACUGUGCUGUCUUCAGUAUUCUGUGGUCUUUACAGUGGAGCAGAAGGACUUACAAUCAUUGGAGACAACAAAUCCACUCUGACCAUUGUGGUGUUAUUUCAUCUAAAUGUCCAAGCUGGGGACGUUAACAGGCAUCUUAACGGUCUUUGUCCAAAAUGGAUUUAGAGAAUGCUUCUCGAUCCGAUAAGAUCUUGUGUUCUUAUCUCUCACAUCAUCAGUCCUCUGAAGUUUCUUAUGGAUGGGCAUGUAAAAAGUGCCAAGAUUUCAGACUUAAGAAAACACUUACAGGGCAGCCGUCCAGUGGUAUUACAGUCAGCUUGUGCCCAGAGGCACAGAGCAGAUCGUAGCAGGACCUGCUGGGUGACACUCAUUACCUACUGAGCCGGGCAGCCCAGUGGCAGCGCUAACCUCUCCGCUGUCCGACUUUUGAGGUGUGUUUUUUAUACUUCCCAGCUGCGUAUUUCUUCCUUCUGUCUCUCCUCAUCACUUUGUCUUCCCGCUCCGUCACUCAUCCUUCACAAGAGCCACUCUUUUCUCCUUCACUGCCCCCUCCUUUGGGUCCCUUCCUCUCUGUUAACUAACUCCACUGCAAGCUGGUGGAUUUGUUUGAAAUGAUGUCUGAGAAAGGGUACUCCCACUGACAACUUUCUACAAACAGCCACAUCCAUUCACACGGAAGGACUCUCCUUAUAUCUGAUGGGUGUUCAUAACGUGGCUGGGUUUGCAUUGGAUUUCCUGUAACUGAAAGUUGGGGUUUUCCUCUGACUAUUACUAACUAAUAAUCAUUAAAUUAGCUUUCACUACGAUAAAAUGAAAGCAUUAAGUUGAUUAUUAAACAAUUUAAGGUGGGCUCACCAUGGCAUAUUGGUGCAAAUUAAUAGGCCGUAGCAUAAAAAUGAAGAUGCCAAAUGUCUAAUCAUGAGCAGCUUUAGAAUGCAGCAGCCAAUGUUAUAAUUUAUAUAGGCCACGCCGAUUAAGACACUGUGCUACACAGACAGACUUCCCAGCUUCCCGUUUAUUUUCUAGCCGUCCUAGCUAACUUAGAGUUCCCUUCUUAAUCUUAACCUGCCUUCCCAUUCUUUCGGGAAAUGCAUGGUUUAGGUUAAUUGAGACCAGGAGCGUUAGUAUUGGUUUCUGGAAACAGCCUGCGCCUCAGGUGGGAGGGCAAGGUGGAGCCUGAUAAUUUGCUUAUCUAAUGGGUUCUGGGUGAGACUGCCCAGUCUAGAGACCACAGUUUGAUUUUGAUGCUGAAGACCUUGCUUUUAAUGCUGUAGCCUUCACCUGCUGCUCUGACUGAGCCUCCCUGUGUGGCCCUUCCUGAGAACCUACUCUGAAGGUGGAAAUCUUCUCUUCGCUUUCUUAGGGAUGUCUUCUCUCUACUGAGAUGGUGUCUGCUGCUGAAACUGCACACCCACACCUUCUCCAUGCUGUGGAACAUCCUAAAGGACCUCGGGGUUUUUUUCCUUUGUGGAGCGUCCUAUAAGGCCUUUGGAUUUCCCCCAUCCCUUGCUUUUUUGUGUGUUUGUUUGAUUGAUUUUUUUUCUUGCUAUGAAUUUGCUUGUGUAUAUGCUUACCUGUAUUAUUGCUUAAUUAUUCAUAAAUGUGAACAAUUCGGUUUUUUUAAAAAAAAUCUUCAUCUUGGCUAAUAGAUUAAACAGCAAGAUAACUGUUUUAAAACUUAUUUUGGAUGCUGUUUUGGAAAACCCUAGGAAUGAUUACUCAAGGAAUCAGAUUGCUGUGGUAGUGCUUUGGGAAGCAUCGAAUUGACCGUGUGGUGGAUGAGUCCACAAGAUUCUCUGCUGAGUGCUGAGGAAAGACCUUUUACCAGCACAUCCGGAGGAGUUGAAAGCUUUCCACAGCACGGGGCUUGCUCCAUACAACAAAAUGAAUUCCAUAAGCCACACGCAAGUCAGUCAGACUCAGAUGAGCGUGUGGGUUACUUGAGCUUCCUGCCCCUGUUUUGCUAUGUCCAGAGGUGGAUUUACCAUCAGAGUCCAUCAGACUCAUCAUCUACAUCUCAACUACAGAGUAUCCCCAACGCCAAGCUUCUUUGGCCAUCUCUCUUUAGCCUACAAAACUGUGUGAACAUCCAGUCCUGUGUGAUUUGGAUCAAGCCCUAGAGAUGAUGCAUGUUUAUCUACGUAAAACAAGUUAGGCAGCCGAGUCAGAAGAGUGACAAACUCAGAAAUGAAUGAGUGCCCUUCCCCAGCUGAUUGCUUUUUUAAUCCGGAAACGCAACUCUAGAACUAUUUAAUCAAAUGAAGACACACGCCUUACAAUUGAAAAAUUGACUGCCAUCUUACUCUUUCCUGAAAAUGGGCAACAUCAGUUUGUGUGUUCAUUGAUUUUUUGUGAUUCGGGUCAUAGAUAACAUUUCUUGAAACUAGGCCAGGACAAUUACAAUAGCAGUAACAUUUGUAAAUCAAUGUGGAUUUCUGAUUGUUUGAGAUGAAGGUCUUCCAUUUAUUGGAAGAACUGCAGUAAAACUCUGAGGAGGAUCUACGAGAAACAUUUAGACAACUCCACAUCAUUAAAGAAGGACUCACAGAAAGAAAAAGCUCAUAUUUUUAUGACUGGACUGAAGAGCUACAAAUCCUGAACCAACCCACAUCUCACUGUUGGCUUAAGAAAAACAUGGAGCUCAAGAUGCAGCAAUAACGCACUGUCUAACUCUGCUGCCCUAGAAGACACACGGAUACAGCUUAGAAAUGAGACUGACGGUGGGGUAGCGGGUAAAGGUGCCUAUCAUCGAGCCCCAAGCCCUGACUUCCAGAAGUGACUCCUAGAAGCUGUCUUCUGACGUGUGCACACACCUGUGCAUCCAUGCACACACGCAAUAAGUACACAGGAAGUGAUUUAACUUAGUUAAAGAAUGACCUAGGGUUGGGGAUUUAGCUCAGCGGUAGAGCGCUUGCCUAGCGAGCGCAAGGCCCUGGGUUCGGUCCCCAGCUCCGGAAAAAAAAAAAAAAAAAAAAAAAGAAUGACCUAAAAGGCAUAGCUGGCCCUUUGAAGUUUCUGGUCAAAGAGUGUGACUUACAGAUACUGGAAUAGAUCUCGUGUUUACACAAAUUUGUUUCAAAAACAAAAAGGAGUGUUUUCGUUCAAAGCAAUUCCUCGUGAGCCAUGUGUCAUCACUGAGCUUCUGGUACUUGACCAAUUCUUUCAGAAACUUGCUGUAAAACAAAUGGCCAUUAAACUCUCACAAUGUCACAAUAGAGAAUUCUUAUUAUGACUCAUUCUUAAUGCAAAAUUGGCUUAAAUUACUAUAUUCAUUGAGCGCGAUUGCCAAACUCCAUUUCAUAAACAAAGUCAUUUUCAUAAGCAGUAAAUCAUAAUUCAAAUUUCUCUUCACUUUCAUCAGAUGCGCUUUUGCUUCCCAUGUGUAAGAUCUUAAUUGUUUUUCUUCAAGCAGUCAUUUUCAUGAACAAAGAUGUUCAUUUCUAACCCUCAUUCCUUGGAGGGGAGGCGGAAAGUGAGGGAGAUGAAGUGAAAUUGACAUUAUUUGGUACAUUAGAAAUUAGGCACACCGUAUUUAAAGCCAAGAAUCACAAGCUGUUAAACCUGGGCUUCAAAAAUGGUAUUUAGUAAAGCCAUUACAGCUUAAGUUAAAUAUUUAAAUGAAAUAAUAGCUGUGCGCUCAGUCCUUGAAGCAGAGACACCAUUCCAUAAAUGUUAGUGGAUGACAUCACAUUCUCACUUCCAAAGGUUUGUUCUGUGAUUUUUGCUAAGGAGCUCAACAAGAAAAGACCCCCUUUAUUUCCAAGAGUCUGUGCAGAACUUUAUUCUCCUGAGAAUAAUGUUUACUUGAAUUGAAAACUGGUGCAUGUCAGAGAAAGCUCUUAUUUAUCCUGGGCUCCAAAAAAAAAAAAAAAAA
rnacentral:sRNA from 1 species